GGAGUCUGCAACCCGACUCCAUGAAGCUGGAUUCGCUAGUAAUCGCGCAUCAGCCACGGCGCGGUGAAUACGUUCCCGGGCCUUGUACACACCGCCCGUCAAGCCAUGAAAGCCGGGGGUACCUGAAGUGCGUAACCGCGAGGAGCGCCCUAGGGUAAAACUGGUGAUUGGGGCUAAGUCGUAACAAGGUAGC
rnacentral:rRNA from 1 species